GCAUGGUUGGUUUAGUGGCAUAAUUACCGCCUGCCAUUAGGUGCGCGGUAGACCCGGGUUCGAUUCCCGGACCAUGCA